rnacentral:lncRNA from 1 species
GUCACUCAUGCAGAAGAACAAAAAGAAAACAUCAAGUUUAAAGUUAACUCUUCUGUAUGCCUUUCAGCAUCCAUCUGUGAGUGAGGAACAAUUACAGCAGUGAAAGAAUCAAGUUCUCUAGUUCUCUAAAUAUAUAAUAUGAGAUAAAAUAUUUUAUGUAUUUGUACUAAAAAAAUUUGUUACUUAGAAAUUUGAAGUUAGUGGUGGCUUCUUAUGACUAUUGCCUUUCCAC